ensembl:lncRNA
UAGUAAUGAAAGGAAGAAGGAGAGAAAGUCCGUUGGGAGCCAGGUAACAGUCUUUUUCCCAGAUCCUCAGCCAGGCUGCCUGGUGACAACAUUCCGAGAUUGCCAGGCAACUGACUUCAUCCUCCUUCUAUCUCUGGUCUCACUUUCCUCCCUAAGUUUUCUUCUUCUCUUCAUGUUUCUGCUCUUACCUCCUUCUCAGGUUCUGCUAGCCCUUUGGGAUAUCAGGCCUUCAGAAGUAGCUCAGAUUUAUCCUUUAACUGAAGUUCUGGGACAGGAUAAGACUCCAUCAAGAUUUCUUGACACUGAUCCUUCCCCCCAAAUUGCACUGGUUCCAGUAACUGAACUGGGGACUCAAAGCUUUCCCACUUGAGCAAUGUGAGAGAAGCAGGGCCUGAAAUGAGCUGAGAGGCCAUCCAGAAGCUGGUACAAAUGGUGCCUUGGCUCCAAACAGAGCAGCCAGGUGCAAGAAGAAAGGCUAUAUGAGGACACAGCAAGAAGGUGGCUGCCCACCAGCCAGGAAGAGAGCCCUCACCAGGAACUGAAUCUACUGGCACCUCCAUCUGGGACUUCCAUCCUCCAGACCUGUAAGAAAAUAAGGUUGUUUAAGUCACCUGGUCUGUGGUACUUUGUUAUGAUAGCUCAAGCAGACUGAUGUAGAUUUUAGUAUUGAAAAGUGGGGUGCUGCUAUAACGAAUACCUAAAAAUGUGAAAAUGGCUUUGGAACUGGAUAAUGGGUAGUGGUUGCAUUGCUUUGAAGAGACCAUUGAUAGAAAAAUGAACAUUAGAGGCGAUUAUGGUGAGGGUUCAGAUGGAAAUGAGGAAUACGAAAUUGGAAACUGGAAGAAAGGCUAUUCUUUUUAUAACGUGGCAAAGAAUUUGGUUGACUUGUGUUCUUGUGUUUUGUGGAAAGCAGAACUUGCGAGUGAUGAAAUUGGUUGUUUAGCUGAGGAGAUGUUUAAAAAUUCAGCUUUACUGAGGUAUAAUUGACAGAGCUGAGGAGAUUUUUUAAAUGAAGUGUUAGAUGAGUGACUUAGCCUCUCCUUACCUCUUACAGGAAAAUGCAAGAGGAGAGAGAUAAAUUGAAAGAAUUGUUAAGCAAAAAGGAAGUAGAAGUUGAAGACUUGGAAAAUUCUCAGCCUACCCAUGUUACAAAAAGUGAGAAAGUAUGCUCUGAAGAGAACACCAAGGAUGUGGGUGGAAAAUCAUUUGAUAAAGGAAUUAUGGAUAUGAACCCUGGAUUUAAUCAGCCAUCUCAGCAGAAUCGAGCAAUAGAGAUGGGGUUAUACGAGCAGACACUGCCAGUUUGGACCAAGGAGACAGAACAGGACAAUAGAGCUAUCUGGCUGUGAACAUCUUUUAUUCUUCAAGAAAAGGGAAGAAUGACCCCAUAGGUGAUCCAGAGAUCAUCACUGCUGCCACUCCCACCCCGGGCACAGGGUGCAAGGAGUUUUUCCUCCUUAGUCUCAUAGGUUUCAGAGGGUGUGGUUCCCCUCCUCACUUUCAACAUGCCAGGCUACUCCACCCAGCACCUCAUGGCCAAGGCCACCACAAAGAGCUGUGGGGGUGGGGCUGCCACAAAGAACUGUGGGGGGCAGGGUGUGCUGCCUAGGGUCAUG